GACGAACGCUGGCGGCGUGCUUAACACAUGCAAGUCGAACGGAAAGGCCCUGCUUUUGCGGGGUGCUCGAGUGGCGAACGGGUGAGUAACACGUGAGUAACCUGCCCUUGACUUUGGGAUAACUUCAGGAAACUGGGGAUAAUACCGGAUAGGAGCUCCUGAUGCAUGGUGGGGGUUGGAAAGUUUCGGCGGUUGGGGAUGGACUCUCGGGUUAUCAGCUUGUUGGUGGAGUAGUGGCUUACCAAGGCUUUGACGGGUAGCCGGCGUGAGAGGGUGACCGGCCACAUUGGGACUGAGAUACGGCCCAGACUCCUACGGGAGGCAGCAGUGGGGAAUAUUGCACAAUGGGCGGAAGCCUGAGGCAGCAACGCCGCGUGCGGGAUGACGGCCUUCGGGUUGUAAACCGCUUUCGCCUGUGACGAAGUGUGAGUGACGGUAAUGGGUAAAGAAGCACCGGCUAACUACGUG
rnacentral:rRNA from 1 species